rnacentral:rRNA from 1 species
AGAAGAUGAGAUAGGACGUUGAAUGCACCAGUUCCCCGCGGACCACUGAAGCAACGUUGCGCGUGGUUAGUAUCCGGAUGGGUGACCAUCUGGGUAAAUGCGUGCUUCUGGCU